rnacentral:rRNA from 1 species
AUGAACGCUGGCGGCGUGCCUAAUACAUGCAAGUCGAGCGAACAGACGAGGAGCUUGCUCCUCUGACGUUAGCGGCGGACGGGUGAGUAACACGUGGAUAACCUACCUAUAAGACUGGGAUAACUUCGGGAAACCGGAGCUAAUACCGGAUAAUAUAUUGAACCGCAUGGUUCAAUAGUGAAAGACGGUUUUGCUGUCACUUAUAGAUGGAUCCGCGCCGCAUUAGCUAGUUGGUAAGGUAACGGCUUACCAAGGCGACGAUGCGUAGCCGACCUGAGAGGGUGAUCGGCCACACUGGAACUGAGACACGGUCCAGACUCCUACGGGAGGCAGCAGUAGGGAAUCUUCCGCAAUGGGCGAAAGCCUGACGGAGCAAUGCCGCGUGAGUGAUGAAGGUCUUCGGAUCGUAAAACUCUGUUAUUAGGGAAGAACAAAUGUGUAAGUAAUUAUGCACGUCUUGACGGUACCUAAUCAGAAAGCCACGGCUAACUACGUG